ACGAACGCUGGCGGCGUGCUUAACACAUGCAAGUCGAACGGAAAGGCCCUGCUUUUGUGGGGUGCUCGAGUGGCGAACGGGUGAGUAACACGUGAGUAACCUGCCCUUGACUUUGGGAUAACUUCAGGAAACUGGGGCUAAUACCGGAUAGGAGCUCCUGCUGCAUGGUGGGGGUUGGAAAGUUUCGGCGGUUGGGGAUGGACUCGCGGCUUAUCAGCUUGUUGGUGGGGUAGUGGCUUACCAAGGCUUUGACGGGUAGCCGGCCUGAGAGGGUGACCGGCCACAUUGGGACUGAGAUACGGCCCAGACUCCUACGGGAGGCAGCAGUGGGGAAUAUUGCACAAUGGGCGGAAGCCUGAUGCAGCAACGCCGCGUGCAGGAUGACGGCCUUCGGGUUGUAAACCGCUUUCGCCUGUGACGAAGCGUGAGUGACGGUAAUGGGUAAAGAAGCACCGGCUAACUACGUG
rnacentral:rRNA from 1 species